CCUACGUGGGGCAGCAGUGAGGAAUAUUGGUCAAUGGGCGCGAGCCUGAACCAGCCAAGUAGCGUGAAGGAUGACUGCCCUACGGGUUGUAAACUUCUUUUAUAAAGGAAUAAAGUGAGGCACGUGUGCCUUUUUGUAUGUACUUUAUGAUUAAGGAUCGGCUAACUCCGUGCCAGCAGCCGCGGUAAUACGGAGGAUCCGAGCGUUAUCCGGAUUUAUUGGGUUUAAAGGGAGCGUAGAUGGGUUGUUAAGUCAGUUGUGAAAGUUUGCGGCUCAACCGUAAAAUUGCAAUUGAUACUGGCAGUCUUGAGUACAGUUGAGGUAGGCGGAAUUCGUGGUGUAGCGGUGAAAUGCUUAGAUAUCACGAAGAACUCCGAUUGCGAAGGCAGCUUACUAAACUGCCACUGACAUUGAUGCUCGAAAGUGUGGGUAUCAAACAGGAUUAGAUACCCUAGUAGUC
rnacentral:rRNA from 1 species